AUGCUCACACACACACAGACACGGACACACUGCUCACACAUUGGAGGCUGGCUCAUGUUUAGCAAGGGCAGAGCUUUAUACUGCUGUGCAGGUGGCGAGCCCAGGGGCUUCUGGGAGCUCCAGUGGCUCAGUUGGGAAAAGCCAGGAGCCACACGUGUGUGCUGUGUCCAGAGGCCGAAGCAACUCUCUGGGGCUGGAUCGUUGCUCACCCCCAUGAUCCACAGGCUCCGUAGGAGCCACAGCAUGGGGAGGGUGAGCAGGCCACAGCCCACCAUCUCACCAGCCCUGUCCCUGCAGACCACGUACAAGGGCAAGUCCUCCUUCCAGACCUACUCGGACUACCUGCGCUGGGAAAGCUUCCUCCGGCAGCAGCUGCAGGCCUUCCCUGAGGGCUCGGCCCUGCGCCACGGCUUCCAGACCUGCGAGCACUGGAAACAGAUCUUCAUGGAGAUCAUAGGGGUGCAGAGUGCCCUAUAUGGCCUGGUCCUCUCCUUGCUCAUCUGUGUGGCCUCGGUGGCCGUGUUCACCACCCACAUCCUGCUCCUGCUGCCUGUGCUCCUGAGCAUCCUGGGCAUCGUCUGCCUGGUGGUGAGCAUCAUGUACUGGAGUGGGUGGGAAAUAGGCGCCGUGGAAGCCAUCUCCCUGUCCAUCCUGGUCGGCUCCUCUGUGGAUUACUGCGUGCACCUGGUGGAGGGCUACCUGCUGGCUGGAGAGAAUCUGCCCCCGCAGCAGGCCGAGGUGAGUGCCCUCUGCCUCCCCCAGGGCGCCACCAUAUCCUAGGCAGGCUGUGUCCUAGGACUGCAGCCCCGGGACUCACAUGAUGCCAGCGCAGCCAGAGGGGACUGCGGGGCCCACGGCAGAUCUGUGUCCCUGGCCUCAGUCUCCCCAGAGUGCAGUGAGGGAAUGGGCCAGACACACCGUGAAUGCCGGCCCUUGCUGCCAUUCCAGCUGGACCCUGAGGCCACAAACCCCCUUCCGGCUCUCUGGGGCUCAUGUACUCAGAGCGAAAACCAGCUACGGGCCUGGUGAAGUUGUUUGUGGGUUUGCUUUUUUCCUACUUUGGGAUUGAAUUGGUAUCAAAACAUUCAUAAACGUGUAAAAAUUAAGUCAGUUAUACAUUUCAUUGCUUUUGCCCCAAAAAACAAAAUAGAGCCAAGUGUGGUGUUCCAUGCCUAUGAUCCCAGCUACCAGGUGGCUGAGGCAGGAGGAUCACAAAUUCAAGGCCAGCCUGCACAACUUAGACCCUGUCUCAAGAUAUAAAAAGGGCUGGAGGUGUGGCUUGGUGGCAGAAUGUUUGCCUAGCAUAGCUGAGGCCCAGGUUUCCAGCCCCAGUACCACCCAACAACGUUCCCGUCAGGACCCCCAUUUCGGCAGAUGCCCCAGCAGCCGGCAGCGCUCGGCACACCUGCA
rnacentral:lncRNA from 1 species